rnacentral:tRNA from 1 species
AGUUAAUGAACUUGUUUAAGUUUAUAUUUUGAAAAUAUACUAAAGAGAUUUAAAUUCUCUAUUAACUU